AUGACCGGCUUUGAGGGUCUAGGCUGCAGGUGCUCUUACCUGGCGUUCCGUGGCGCUGCGCUGGUGGGCUAUUUAAGCGCUCCCUUCUCAGUCGUUCCCCCUUUUGGCUCACACGCUCUUCCGGGCCUCUCCUUGUGGCCGCUCUGUCCUCCCGCUCAGUGCCGCUGCUUGGCCACUGCUUGGCCGGUGCUCUGCACCGCAUCAGUCCCUCGCUCCUCCGAGUCGCGGAGCACCUAGGGCGCGCUUUCAUCUCCUCUGACCAAGCUCCACGGGUAAGACGAGUGAAUCCCUCCCCAUUGCGCUUGGCUGUGCGCCGCCGUGUCCCGUAAACCGCGGCGGCAGCGUGUGCCGGUCCACAUUGUUGGACCACGUCUGGACGCAGUUGUUCUAUGUAGAGUUGCCUUCGAUUCAGCCUGGGGAUUGCGCACUGUCACACUCAACCACGGUAUGUUUGGCCCAGAUCCUUACGCUGCAGGCUCUGAGUUUAAUCCCAAAAUUUAACUUUUCAGGUGUCGGCGGGGGCCUGCAGCGGCGUGAGGACA